ACUGACCAGUGAGUGGGUUAGUGAGAGACUGACCAGUGAGUGGGUUAGUGAGAAACUGACCAGUGAGUGGGUUAGUGAGUGACUGAUUAGUGAGAGACUGACCAGUGAGUGGGUUAGUGAGAAACUGACCAGUGAGUGGGUUAGUGAGUGACUGAUUAGUGAGAGACUGACCAGUGAGUGGGUUAGUGAGAGACUGACCAGUGAGUGGGUUAGUGAGAAACUGACCAGUGAGUGGGUUACUGAGUGACUGAUUAGUGAGAGACUGACCAGUGAGUGGGUUAGUGAGAAACUGACCAGUGAGUGGGUUAGUGAGAGACUGAUUAGUGAGGGAAAUUCUGACCAGUGAGUGGGUUAGUGAGAGACUGAUUAGUGAGGGAAAUUCUGACCAGUGAGUGGGUUAGUGAGUGACUGAUUAGUGAGGGAAAUUCUGACCAGUGAGUGGGUUAGUGAGAGACUGAUUAGUGAGGGAAAUUCUGACCAGUGAGUGGGUUAGUGAGAGACUGAUUAGUGAGAGGGUCAGUGAGUGAGACUCCAUAUAGUGAAAGGGUCAGUAAGUGAGAGACUGCAGCUGGUGAGAAAGAGUCCUGCUAGUGAGAGGGUCAGUAAGAGACUGUUUGAGACUGCUGCCAGAGGCAGGAUGAGACUGAGGUUGGUACCAUAUGAACCCAUGGCUAUUUAUCAAGCUCCAACUUAUGUGUCACUCACACUGGAAGGAUUUCCUGCCCCGCCGCAGUCCUGCACAGGAAGUACACGGUGCAAGUGCAGCAGGAAGUGGGUGACGCUUCUCCCCAGCAGCCCAGAGCCCACUGAGCAUGUGCAAAAAAAGAUGGCCUAACAAGAUUCAAGAUGGGGGGCUGCUGGGGCAACUGUGAAGGCCUGGAUCUUUCCUGUUAUCGGGCUGCUGCAGUACAGUAAAGACCAACUUGCCCCAUGACCAAUCAGGUUGUGUGUGAAUGGCUCUAUUUCAGAAGAGAUGAAUACAAAGAAUCCAACUGUUACUUUCCAUAUCCAAUCCUCUUGGUAGUGAGAGCCAUGUGGGUCUCCAUGGACGUAGCAGUAGCCAGCCUAGUGAGUGAGCCUUGGGUGUACACUCUCUCUACUCCCUCUCAGUAUGUAUCUAUAGCUUAUGUACCAGGAGCACCUGAGAAUGUAGGGAGUAACUUUCUCCUGACCCGUAACCUGCUGGACUCUAUGCAGUUUGGGUUUGUGACCUGCACGCUCUAUUGAGACUAAUACAAAUGAUCUCCAGAUUGGAAAGGCCAAAGGAUACGUCUCUGUCUCAUUCUCCUGGAUUUAUCUUCUGCUUUUAAUAUUUACUACCAUUCUCCGUCCCUGUGGAACUCCAUCCCUGAAGUCCUCGCCAGGCACAAAACCACUUACGAUUGAGCCAAUAAUUGUGAGUUUUGUAGCUGAGCGAUAAUGAAAGUGCUGACGGCGAGUGACACAACUUGGCUGCUCAAGAAGCCAUGUUAGUUGCAAUAUGUGAUGAUAACUGGGACCUCAGCCAGGAGAAUGAAUCCCUGCUUGGCCUUCUGAAAUGGUUCCUUUGGUGUCUUUGUGUUUCCCCCUCUCUCACUGAUCCAUAUCCUUGCAGCCUUUUUCCUGAGGUUCUCCCAGUCCCCCCUCUCUAACUGACAUCCAUAACCUUCCAACUUCUUUCCCAAGUUCCCUACCUCUCCCACCAAUAUCCAGCCCUUGCAUGUCUCUUCUCCAUUGCCCUCCCACUCCUCCUUCGUAUAGAUGACCUUACCAAUACAGUUCCUUCCACAAGGCCCCCACUUGUCCUACUUCUACCAAAGUCUGUAUGUCAGGAACUGCAGGGAAUCGAACCCUGGACUUGGUGCUGGACUGCUGGUGCACUAGCUUAAUGAGCCACAGGAGGCUCUUUGAGCUACGUGGGGUCUGUUGCCCUUAUGUGCUUUUGACAUCGCUACCCAUUUUCCUUCAGUCUCAACCAAUCCUGUUUAUCACAUGUGUUGCUGUUUUAGUAAUCACCAACCUAUAUAAACCCCCUCCGUGUAGUGCUGGGCGGUAUGACCAAAAAUUUAUAUCACGGUAUUUUUCAAAAUUAUAUCGGUAUCACGGUAU